ACACGAUCCUCAUCCAUCCAAAUCACCCCAUUUUUCUUUAAAACCACAGCCACUUUCACCAUUCUCACACCACCAUUUUCAAUUCCUGCAGCAAGUUCACACAGCAACUACACCACCAGACCAAGGUCCAGACGGGAAGUGAAAGCUAAAGAAGGAGGUAACUCUACGCCCCUAGUGGGAACGGAAUGAGGUUGAGCGGGUGAUGGAAUGGAGUGGAGUUGAGCGGAUGUACCUUUUGACAUAGAACAAUAAUGUAACCUUGAGUAUACAUCUUCAUAUGUAUAACUCACACGUAUUUCCGCUGCAAGAUACUCUGAUUAUGCUAAUGUUUUAUAUUAAGUAUGAUACUCUUUUGUUGGGUAAUCCACUUCGACGAGCCUUCCCAAACGAACGUCUUAUUUUUGUCCAAGUGAUCAGUUAUGAUCCUAGUGUUAUAUAAUAAAUGUCUCUUUUC